rnacentral:rRNA from 1 species
AUACGUCUCUAUCUUUGGGUAGAGAUCAGUUGACUGUCAUACUCCCAAGAAAAGCUCGAACUACUGUAAAACAUCAAAUACCUGUACCGUAAACCGACACAGGUGGGUUAGUAGAGUAUACUAAGGGGCGCGAGAUAACUCUCUCUAAGGAACUCGGCAAAAUGACCCCGUAACUUCGGGAGAAGGGGUGCCAAGUAACUUAAAUUGCUUGGUCGCAGUGACCAGGCCCUGGCGACUGUUUAUCAAAAACACAGGUCUCCGCAAAGUCGUAAGACAACAUAUGGGGGCUGACGCCUGCCCAGUGCCGGAAGGUUAAAGAAGUUGGUUAUUCAUCCCCUUUGGGGAGGAAGAAGCUGACGACUGAAGCCCCGGUGAACGGCGGCCGUAACUAUAACGGUCCUAAGGUAGCGAAAUUCCUUGUCGGGUAAGUUCCGACCCGCACGAAAGGCGUAACGAUCAGGGCACUGUCUCGGAGAGAGACUCGGUGAAAUAGACAUGUCUGUGAAGAUGCGGACUACCUGCACCUGGACAGAAAGACCCUAUGAAGCUUGACUGUAGCUUGGAAUUGGGUUCGGGCUCUUCUUGCGCAGCCUAGGUGGGAGGCAUUGAAGGUUUUCUUUCGGGGAAACUGGAGCCAACAGUGAGAGACCACUCUGGAGGAGCUAGAAUUCUAAUGGCGUUCCUUGAAGCAGGACGCUUGACAGUUUCAGGUGGGCAGUUUGACUGGGGCGGUCACCUCCUAAAAGGUAACGGAGGUGUGCAAAGGUUCCCUCAGGCUGGACGGAAAUCAGCCGGAGAGUGUAAAGGCAGAAGGGAGCUUGACUGCAAGACCUACAAGUCGAGCAGGGGCGAAAGCCGGCCUUAGUGAUCCGACGGUUCCAUGUGGAAGGGCCGUCGCUCAACGGAUAAAAGUUACUCUAAGGGUAACAGGCUGAUCUUCCCCAAGAGUUCACAUCGACGGGAAGGUUUGGCACCUCGAUGUCGGCUCAUCGCAACCUGGGGCGGUAGUACGUCCCAAGGGUUGGGCUGUUCGCCCAUGAAAGCGGUACGUGAGCUGGGUUCAGAACGUCGUGAGACAGUUCGGUCCAUAUCCGGUGUAGGCGUUAGAGCAUUGAGAGGAGCCUUCCAUAGUACGAGAGGACCUGGAAGGACGCACCUCUGGUAUACCAGUUAUCGUGCCAACGGUAGACGCUGGGUAGCCAUGUGUGGAGUGGAUAACCGCUGAAAGCAUCUAAGUGGGAAGCCCACCUCAAGAUGAGUGCUCUCCAUUAGGUCACAGGAAGACAACCUGUUCGAUAGGCAGAAGGUGUAAGGCCAGUAAUGGUUUCAGCUGAUCUGUACUAACAGACCGAAUGAUUUUGACA